rnacentral:rRNA from 1 species
UACGAAGGUGACAAGCGUUGUUCGGAAUCAUUGGGCGUAAAGCGCACGUAGGCGGGUUUGAAAGUCGAUUGUGAAAACCCUGGGCUCAACCCGGGACCUGCAGUCGAAACUUCAAGUCUUGAAUGCUCGAGAGGAUAGUGGAAUUCCAGGAGUAGAAGUGAAAUUCGUAGAUAUCUGGAGGAACACCGGAGGCGAAAGCGGCUAUCUGGCGAGACAUUGACGCUAAGGUGCGAAAGCGUGGGGAUCAAACAGG